rnacentral:piRNA from 2 species
UGAAAACAGGGGUCUGGAAGCAUA